rnacentral:rRNA from 1 species
GUGAGGAAUUUUCCGCAAUGGGCGAAAGCCUGACGGAGCAAUGCCGCGUGAAGGAUGAAGGCCUAUGGGUUGUAAACUUCUUUUCUCAGAAAAGAAUUAUGACGGUAUCUGAGGAAUAAGCAUCGGCUAACUCUGUGCCAGCAGCCGCGGUAAGACAGAGGAUGCAAGCGUUAUCCGGAAUGAUUGGGCGUAAAGCGUCUGUAGGUUGUUUAAAAAGUAUUCUGUCAAAGAUUAGGGCUUAACCCUAGAUAGGCAGAAUAAACUUUUAAGCUAGAGUUUGGAAGAGGCAGAGGGAAUUCCCGGUGGAGCGGUGAAAUGCGUAGAUAUCGGGAGGAACACCAAAGGCGAAAGCACUCUGCUGGGCCAAUACUAACACUGAGAGACGAAAGCGAGUGGAGCAAAUGGGAUUAGAAACCCGAGUAGUCC